GUGAGGCCACGCAGAAAUGGCUUGGCAGGGGACCCAGUGAGCCCAGAGGGAUUUUGCCGCUGCUUCCUCUACCCCUGUAUUUCACUCAGCUCUCUAAAUUGACUCAGCUGUAGGCUAGUGUGAGAAACACCAACGUCAGGCCCAUCUCAGAUCUUCACUAUGGCAACUCAUGCAAGAAACUGUUGAAUUAGACCCGUUUCCUAUAGAUGAGAAACCAUACAAGCUGUGGUAUUUAUGAGCCUCCAUUUCUUAUACUACUGCAGUGAACCAACAUUGGAUGUGAAAAUUGCCUUUUGUCAGGGAUUCGAUAAACAAGUGGAUGUGUCAUAUAUUGCCAAACAUUACAACAUGAGCAAAAGCAAAGUUGACAACCAGUUCUACAGUGUGGAAGUGGGAGACUCAACCUUCACAGUUCUCAAGCGCUACCAGAAUCUAAAGCCUAUUGGCUCUGGGGCUCAGGGCAUAGUUUGGUCUCAAGAAAUAGCACCAACCUGUGAGCCAAAGGAGCCAUCUUAAUGUCUUUAGGUCAUUAAUUUUAGACAUAGCAUGUUCUUUACUACAAGGCUACUUUGAGAGUCACUGUGUCACUGUUGGGCUUCUGGCAUAAAUAAAGUUAACAUAAUAUACUCAAUAAACUCUUUCACUCCUUAGCUAACUCCAACAUCAUCCAGACACUGAUGCUCAUCCAAGUUGCCGUGUAGAUUUAUAAGAAGAAUCUUGUUAAGAUAAAAUAACUAAACAUAAAUCAUACUUUAAAUUUUAUUGCCAUGAAAUGGCCAAAGGUAGGAAUGUAGCAGUAACCCCGGAAGAGCAGUCCUUGGUUCUUACUCUUUUGUCUUGGGGGAGUGACAUGUAAAAGCCUCUUCAACCAGAAGCACAGGUGCCCUUGAGCAGCAGGAGAGCAUAUCACUUAUAUCUAAAAGGGAAUAUUUUGUCAAUGAAAGUACAUGCUAAAAUAUAUUAUAUUGAUGGUCGUAAAAAUAAUGUUAUUAGAAAUUGUUUUAAACAAACAUUUUUGAAAAUGAAAAUAAAAAUACAGUUAAUAUUUUAUAACUUAUAUGAAUUGCCUAAAUCUCUUUUUAAUGAGAAGAAUAAUUACUGUGGUACAUCUCAUGUAUAUUAAUCUGUGGAAAUUUCUGAUAUUUUUCUGAAGUCAACUUUUUAAUAUGAAUUUAUUAUUCUUAAGUUUUAAUGAAACUUCUGGUAAUCUUCAAAAUUGCCUGUUAUGGUUAAUAAAUUUGAAAUAUUGACACAUUUAAUAUAUAUAACAAUAUUUUUAUUUGAAAAAUGUUCUCAAAAGGGGCUUAGGUAUCUGCUAAGAACAAAUUUUGCUAAAUUGAAAAUAUUCUUUUUAUUAAUUGAAAAUAUUCUUAAUUCUAAUGUAUUUUUGUAUUGUAAUGUAUAAGUAUUUGAGUCCAAGCUUUUUCACAGACACUGAGUUUUCCCCCCUUCAUUUGGUGUUCCAUUAUCCAAGAAAUAAUUUCAUAAUACCACACUUGCCAAAUAGAUUGCCGAAAUUUAUGGCUUUUUAAAUGGUUUGCCAAAUUUAGAUGCAGAAAAAUUAUAGGCCUUUAAAAUCAUAUUUCAAUCCUGCACAGAAUAUAAAUAUUUGGAAAUUAGAAAUUACACCAGGUCCCACAUAGAAUAUAAAUAGAUCAUAAAAUUCAGAACUUUAUCGAAAGACUGUUCUCACAAAUUAAGAUAUUCUAAAGUAUAAUUAUGGAAUUUCAAAAUGAAAUCUUAUCCUCUCUUUGAGAAUGCAUGAUUUCAUUUGAUUUGUUCAGUUAAUUUCUUUAGUCCAUUUCAGCACAUUCUUGUGGGCUUCAAGUUGCAAGUUUUGUUUAUAAUAAUAGCUAUUCCUUAAAAGUUUCAAGAGUUGAAUACUGGGAUGCUCCAUUUAUGAAAUACUAUGAUUAAACAUUUCCAAGUAAUUUUGCAAAAAAAAGCACCCAAAGUUUAGAGGACUUAUGUAUAAAAAGUUAUUUUUCAAUAGUAAGUAUGAGAAAUGCCAAGAAAAUAUGCCGAUUGCUAUUUCAAAGUAUUUUCAUUUUUUAAAUUCAAUAUCAGCUUUGUCUCCAAAAUUU
rnacentral:sRNA from 1 species